GGCCGGUUAGCUCAGUCAGUUGAGCAUGGCGCUAAGAACACCAAGGUUGUGGGUACGAUUCCCGUUCGGUCC
rnacentral:tRNA from 1 species